GGCCAGACUCCUACGGGAGGCAGCAGUGGGGAAUAUUGCACAAUGGGGGAAACCCUGAUGCAGCGACGCCGCGUGAGUGAAGAAGUAUUUCGGUACGUAAAGCUCUAUCAGCAGGGAAGAAAAUGACGGUACCUGAUUAAGAAGCCCCGGCUAACUACGUGCCAGCAGCCGCGGUAAUACGUAGGGGGCAAGCGUUAUCCGGAUUUACUGGGUGUAAAGGGAGCGUAGACGGCAGCGCAAGUCUGGAGUGAAAUGCCGGGGCCCAACCCCGGAACUGCAUUUGGAACUGUAAGGCUAGAGUGUCGGAGAGGCAGGCGGAAUUCCUAGUGUAGCGGUGAAAUGCGUAGAUAUUAGGAGGAACACCAGUGGCGAAGGCGGCCUGCUGGACGAUGACUGACGUUGAGGCUCGAAAGCGUGGGGAGCAAACAGGAUUAGAUACCCGAGUACG
rnacentral:rRNA from 1 species